AAUAGAUACCCGGGUAGUCCACGCCGUAAACGAUGUCGACUUGGAGGUUGUUCCCUUGAGGAGUGGCUUCCGGAGCUAACGCGUUAAGUCGACCGCCUGGGGAGUACGGCCGCAAGGUUAAAACUCAAAUGAAUUGACGGGGGCCCGCACAAGCGGUGGAGCAUGUGGUUUAAUUCGAUGCAACGCGAAGAACCUUACCUACUCUUGACAUCCAGAGAACUUAGCAGAGAUGCUUUGGUGCCUUCGGGAACUCUGAGACAGGUGCUGCAUGGCUGUCGUCAGCUCGUGUUGUGAAAUGUUGGGUUAAGUCCCGCAACGAGCGCAACCCUUAUCCUUUGUUGCCAGCGGUCCGGCCGGGAACUCAAAGGAGACUGCCAGUGAUAAACUGGAGGAAGGUGGGGAUGACGUCAAGUCAUCAUGGCCCUUACGAGUAGGGCUACACACGUGCUACAAUGGCGCAUACAAGGAGAAGCGACCUCGCGAGAGCAAGCGGACCUCAUAAAGUGCGUCGUAGUCCGGAUUGGAGU
rnacentral:rRNA from 1 species